rnacentral:pre_miRNA from 1 species
CACAUACUCCCUCCGUCCUAAAAUUCUUGUCUUAGAUUUGUCUAGAUACGGAUGUAUCUAAUACUAAAAUGUGAUUUGAUAUAUCCGUAUUUAGACAAAUCUAAGACAAGAAUUUUAGGACGGAGGGAGUACUAG